CACGUGGAUAGUGGGGUGCUCUGAUUUUUGAAUAUAAAAUUUAGAAAAUAAAGUAAACACUUUAUUGUAGUAAAAAUUAGCUUUAUAAGCUGUAGGAAUAAAAAAUUAAUUCUUUAUUAUCAUCGAUUUUUAGUAAGAAUUAGCUUUAUUGUAGUAGGAAUAAAAAAAACAAUUCUUUAUUAUCAUCGAUUUUUCAUACUAAAAACAAUCGAUUAAUUUUAUGCAAAAUGUCACAUCUCUAGUAAAUCUCUAGUAACCAAUAGAAAAGUAUUAAUUGGAUAACCAAUAGAAAAGUUCGAAAGUUAAAAUGGCGGAUUGUUUACAAAUUUGUACUGUUGCACAAAACAUCAAAAAGUGUUUUUAAAUAUUUAAUUAGUGUAAAUUACAACUCAGAUACCAUAAAUGACUCCAAAUGUCACGGAAGUGUUCAAAUCAAGGCCCCCGAGACCCUAUCUAGGGGUCUGAAUAAGCAAAUUCAAGCAAAAAUUACUCCAAAUCUCACGGAGGUUUUCGAAUCAAGGUCCCCCGAGACUCCUACACACUCAGUUUAAUCACAAUCAAGGUAUUGAAUAUAAGAUCCAACCCA